GUCCACACCGUAAACGAUGGAUACUAGGUGUCCGGGACUUCGGUCCUGGGUGCCCAAGGGAAACCGAUAAGUAUCCCACCUGGGGAGUACGUCCGCAAGGAUGAAACUCAAAGGAAUUGACGGGGGCCCGCACAAGCGGUGGAGCAUGUGGUUUAAUUCGAUGAUACGCGAGAACCUUACCUGGGCUAGAAUGCCCCUGACAGGCCGUGAAAGCGGUUUUUCCUUCGGGACAGGGUGCAAGGUGCUGCAUGGUUGUCGU
rnacentral:rRNA from 1 species